AGUUUUGCAAAUCUUGUAGCCACUCCAAAAAACCAUUUUGUCCCCAACGAUUUAAUAUAGCAUAGAGAACCACUUGAGAGACGCCGGAUGGGCUCUCAGUACAAACUUCUGCGUAACGGGUUAUGCGAUCGAUGAAUAGAGAAUUUCCAGUUAUCCAUCCCAAACGUAAUCCCGGUACAAUCAAUUUGGAAAAGGAAUCAACUCGCAAAACCCUACCGUCGGUAUCUAGAUGGAGUA